AACGAACGCUGGCGGCAUGCCUAACACAUGCAAGUCGAACGAGACCUUCGGGUCUAGUGGCGCACGGGUGCGUAACGCGUGGGAACCUGCCUUUAGGUUCGGAAUAACUCAGAGAAAUUUGAGCUAAUACCGGAUGAUGUCUUCGGACCAAAGAUUUAUCGCCUUUAGAUGGGCCCGCGUUGGAUUAGCUAGUUGGUGGGGUAAAGGCCUACCAAGGCGACGAUCCAUAGCUGGUCUGAGAGGAUGAUCAGCCACACUGGGACUGAGACACGGCCCAGACUCCUACGGGAGGCAGCAGUGGGUAAUAUUGGACAAUGGGCGAAAGCCUGAUCCCGCAAUGCCGCGUGAGUGAUGAAGGCCUUAGGGUUGUAAAGCUCUUUUACCCGAGAUGAUAAUGACAGUAUCGGGAGAAUAAGCUCCGGCUAACUCCGUG
rnacentral:rRNA from 1 species